rnacentral:lncRNA from 1 species
CCUCUCUGUCUCCUCAACAGGAACAUUUGUAGUGAAUGUGACCCAGACCUCCUAUCAGGCAGAGGAGAACCACGACAUCACACUGGAGUGGACCUUCACAACCAACCCUCACAGUUCCUCCAACUCUCUUAAUAUCUUCUGUGAAUUGUUAACUGAUACUAAUAAUCAAACCCUGUUUCGUCUCCAUAAAGGAGUUGAGGUCCCAGAGUCUCAGGAUGAACAGUUUGCAGGACGAGUCCAGUGGGACAAAGACGUCCUCAGAGAAGGACGACUCAGACUUCAUGUGUCCAGACUCAGGACUGAAGACUCGGGACUGUAUGUGUGUAAAGUGUUCACAAGUUAUGGGAGUAACUCUGGUAGAUGUUGGCUCAAUGUCACUGCAGCGAGGGAUCGGCCUGAACCUGAGACACCAAACACAACAAGUCCACCAAACACAACAAGUCCACAACAACCAGAGAGUCGGGGAAGGAUCGGUCUCUACUGUGGACUGGGACUGACAGCAGCAGCAGUUCUGCUGGCUGGUUGUUUCUGUAUUUUCAGACACUUGCUGUUUAGAAAUCAAGAUUUCUACUCAGAGAAAAGUUACAGUUCACAAAGUGCAUCAGUAGAAACUGUUAUCUGACAAAACUGUUAGAUUUCAAUUUUAUACCACAGAGACAGAAAAUACUAGUUUCUCACAAACUUAAAGUUGAUUAAAAGACAUUCUCUUUAUAUUAUUCAGUAAGUGAACUUGAAUCAUAUUACACAACUGAUUAAUAAUGGAGGAAAUAUGUUCCUGUUUAUUAGUUUGGUCAAACUGUCACUUAUCAGACAGAUCUGAAAUGUGCUGUGUUCACUUUAUGGAAAUAUCUGCCUCGUAUACGACGCAGGCUGUAGCUAAUAUAUGCAAUAUUUUCAAUGUAAAGCUCUAUGAGAUCAGUUUUCAUAACAAACAUAUCCACUAGUAUUUCUAUCCUGUCUAUCAUGUAGUUGACUCCUGCAGGAUGUAAUGAAGCCUUCAUGGUAACUGAAGAUCCUUCAGAUCUGCAUCAAACUGUAGCAGCACACAGGAAGUGAAGGCAUCUUCUUCAAUGUUUUGUCUUCUUCUAGUUGUGUAUUUACUUGUAUCAAUAUAUUAUGUCAUAUGUUACUUGUAAUGUUCUCUCUAUUGUUACCUGUCUAGGCACUACUGAUGUAAAUUAGCAUUAAUGCCAACUCCAGCAUGUUUACAUCUUGAUGUUCAUUAACGUGCUCUGUCCCUAUCAGAUAUUUAAGUUAUUACAGCAGAAAUAACUAAUAUCAGUGUUAAUAAUGUUUUUAUUGAAUGAAGGGUUUUGCAGCUUUUAAAGAAACAAGGAAAAGACUUGUUGACGUUUCUUAGACAAAUAUGAAAAAUGACCACAGCUUGUGUGUUUUCUCUCAGGUAGUGUUUCAGUUCUUGGUCUUCAAGACAAAAUGUAAAAGACUGAUUUUAUUUCUUUUUAAGCUUCAAUGUAAAAUAAUCUCUUCUAUUUGUGUAUUAACUUGCAUCAAUAUAUUAUGUCAUAUGUUACUUGAAAUGUUCCCUCUUGUCUUACUACUACAGAUGUAAAUUAGCAUUAAUACUGACUGAUAUGUUACAUCUUGAUGUUCAUUAAUCUAAAUUAAUAAGUUAUGACAGCAGGAAUGACUAAUGUCUGUAAUAAUGCUUUCAUUGAGUAAAGUGUUUUGUAGCUUUUAAGGAAUCAAGUAAAUAAACUUGGUGACCUUUGUUACAAUAAAAUAAAUGAAAAUGACCACAGUGUAUGUUCUUCAUCAGGUAGUGUUUCAGUUCUACGUCGAUUGAGACUAAAUGGAAAGACUUUUUUUACCUUCAAUGUAAAAUAUUUGUAAUUCAGAAGAGUCAGAGAAAAUAAUGUUGCUGCUGAAACAUCUGAGAUAUGAUUUGGUGUUUUACUACAACAGAAAAAGGAAAUGAAGUGAAUCAAAUUUGGUAAAUUACAGCAAAUAAAGAAAUCACACAGAACAAUAUGGA